rnacentral:hammerhead_ribozyme from 1 species
AAGCGAAACCGCUCCGGUUGGCCGGGGCGGUCUGCCCAGCGUGGUGGCUGGGUACUGACGAGCAGCCGAGG